ACGGAAGGCAGCAGUGGGGAAUAUUGCACAAUGGGCGAAAGCCUGAUGCAGCGACGCCGCGUGAGUGAAGAAGUAUCUCGGUAUGUAAAGCUCUAUCAGCAGGGAAGAAAAUGACGGUACCUGACUAAGAAGCCCCGGCUAACUACGUGCCAGCAGCCGCGGUAAUACGUAGGGGGCAAGCGUUAUCCGGAUUUACUGGGUGUAAAGGGAGCGUAGACGGUUUGGCAAGUCUGAAGUGAAAUGCGGGGGCUCAACUCCUGAACUGCUUUGGGAACUGUCGAACUAGAGUGCAGGAGAGGUAAGUGGAAUUCCUAGUGUAGCGGUGAAAUGCGUAGAUAUUAGGAGGAACACCAGUGGCGAAGGCGGCUUACUGGACUGUAACUGACGUUGAGGCUCGAAAGCGUGGGGAGCAAACAGGAUUAGAUACCCUGGUA
rnacentral:rRNA from 1 species